rnacentral:rRNA from 1 species
CGAACGGGUGAGUAAUGCGUGACAAACCUGCCCCAUGCUCCAGAAUAGCUCUUGGAAACGGGUGGUAAUGCUGGAUGCUCCAACUUGACGCAUGUCUUGUUGGGAAAGUGUUUAGUGGCAUGGGAUGGGGUCGCGUCCUAUCAGCUUGUAGGCGGGGUAAUGGCCCACCUAGGCUUCGACGGGUAGCCGGCCUGAGAGGGCGGACGGCCACAUUGGGACUGAGAUACGGCCCAGACUCCUACGGGAGGCAGCAGUU